rnacentral:rRNA from 1 species
AUUGAACGCUGGCGGCAGGCUUAACACAUGCAAGUCGAGCGGAGAUGAGGUGCUUGCACCUUAUCUUAGCGGCGGACGGGUGAGUAAUGCUUAGGAAUCUGCCUAUUAGUGGGGGACAACAUUCCGAAAGGAAUGCUAAUACCGCAUCCGUCCUACGGGAGAAAGCAGGGGAUCUUCGGACAUUGCGCUAAUAGAUGAGCCUAAGUCGGAUUAGCUAGUUGGUGGGGUAAAGGCCUACCAAGGCGACGAUCUGUAGCGGGUCUGAGAGGAUGAUCCGCCACACUGGGACUGAGACACGGCCCAGACUCCUACGGGAGGCAGCAGUGGGGAAUAUUGGACAAUGGGGGGAACCCUGAUCCAGCCAUGCCGCGUGUGUGAAGAAGGCCUUAUGGUUGUAAAGCACUUUAAGCGAGGAGGAGGCUACUGAGACUAAUACUCUUGGAUAGUGGACGUUACUCGCAGAAUAAGCACCGGCUAACUCUGUGCCAGCCGCCGCCGUAAUAC